AAUAAUGUUUAGUAGGUGUGAAACAUUAAGUACGAAAUGAACUGGGUACGAAUAUCACUCAUGUGGUUUUACUUGGUUUUUAUCGUAAUAUCACUUAUCAAUACGGAAGGCUCCGAGGCAUGCAUUACUGUUUUUAGAGGAAAUUUUCAGUGUUAAAUUUGGAAUUUAUCAGUCAUGAAUUGGAAAAUUUGCUGUCUAUUUUCUGUUGGGAACGGUGCCGUUUUCCGGUAUCAGUUGUAUAAGGAAAAACACUGGGUUGUUGUUAAGAUUUUAGUCAUUGACUAGAUUUCUACCAGAAUUUUUUUGUUUUUACUCUUCUUGUGCAAGUUGUGGUUAUAGAGUGUGAUGAACAUAUUGACUCUUACUUUGUAAAACGUUCAGAUACAAAGACAGUUGCUAAAAAAUAUCAAGAUCUCAAGUUUGUUUUGCCCCUGUCUUGCAUAUCUGUAAUGGAAGAACAGUUAUUAUGGAUAAAUACAGGUACUUCAAUAAAAUGUAAUUUUGGGUACUGUCAGAUCUACAUGUUACGCUACAAGUUUCUUCUCAUAAUUACAUAUUUAACAACUAGUAUGGCUAAUGAGUACAAAAUUUUGGAGGUACUACACUACAAGGCAGAAGAGAAUAUCUGUCCUUGCAAGCAGUCUUGAAGACCUUCUGAAGAAAGCUGGUGACAAGCAACAGUUGCAAGGAGGAAGUUUGAUUGUUGUGCUGGAAAAAGAUGUGACAGAAAUGGAAGAAAACGCCAUCCUUGACAUAUUCAAAACUAAGUAUUGAUGCUUCUAGAAGACCAACAAUUAUGAGAACCAGAUAUUCCAAAAGACACUGUUGUAAUGUUUGGGCAGACACCCAAGAUGCCAACAUGUCAAAGACUGAGACAGAGUCCACAACUGUUACCACAGCGACAGAAAUUGUAACACCAUCUUAUGUUGUUGGAAAUUAAAUUAAUUCUUGCAGUAGGCCACAUCCAACCAUUUGUUGACAAUCUAGAGAUAUUGUUUGAAGCAGUAGCUACACUUAAACCUGGAGGAAAAGAGUGCAAAGAUGAUUUGGACGUUAUAAGAGCCAUAGAAAGUAAUACAGGAUUCAAACAUGGAAAGGGGUGCAAGACUAGAUAAAUUGUAGUUCUACAUAAGGAUAUUGAAGAAGCUAAUCUGUCAAAGGUCCUGUCAUCACAGCCUAAUACUCCUCCAAGUGAAGCCUUGUUUUUAUUUUUAACAACAUAGAACUGGACAAACAGUAUAUUGUUGGAGACCAGUGCAAGAUACCACUUGAGACAGUCUUUCUUAGUCACAAGUCGGCUGGGUAUUUACACUUUGUGGAAAAAUUGGAAAAACUAAUGAACAAAUAGAACCAACAUUUUAAAUUAAAUUCAACCUUCUGUGUCAUGGACAUAUUAUUGACUUCUUAACAGCUUACCUUUUACCAUGAAAAAACCUGCUUUUUUGCACUUGCAAAAACAAAGGUGCAGAAUAGCUGUGUGGUAACCAUCAGCUGAUCAGUGCCUUUAUUUUUGCUGCAUAGAUGGUGCAAUCCCUCCCCUUCCUUAAUCAGACAUUUAAAUCCUCUUGAUGUCUGAACAUGAAGCUGUAUAUUUUGGCUCUAUUUGAAAUAGCAAAUGUCAAGUGUCAAUAUUUUUCAAAACAGCUAAGACUAUGCUUCUUUUUAGGAACUUUUAAAUCCAGUGAUUUAUCAAAUUAUUAUUCACUAGCAGAAAAGAUUGACUUAAUAAUGCAGUGUUUAAACACUAAUUUUAUUAUUUAUGACAUCAGUAUGUUAUUGCAGACUGUGACAUUUUUAUGUCAAUGAAGCAUUAAAAUGCCAUAUAUUAUAAAUUGUUUAUUACAGUUAAGAAGUAUUAGUGCUAUUUGUUGUUUGCAAAUGUUAAUAUGCUCUUAUUUUGUACAUGCUAUGUAGUAAGUUUAAUAUAUUGCAUUGAUGUCUUAAAUAAGUUUGUAUUUUGUUGAUGUAUUACUGAAUUUACUGUCUAACUUUAACACAUGCUCACUUCAUUAUCAUAUCAGAUUUAUUAAAUUUUCAUUUACUGAUUUCAAGUGGUAAGCAGAAUUAUUUACAGAGAUCACUAGUUUUCACUGAUCAGGCACCUUUGUUGUGCAUUUAAAUUUUUGGUGUUUUUGGAGUCAAAGAAAUGAUUUAUCAAAAUAUUGUUUAAAGUUGCAUUGUAACUUUUUAGAGUGCUAAAGUGUACCAUUUUUUUUGUCUAAGCCUUAAGCGCACCACAACAAAAGACAUUUAUGAACCAUCAGGAUAUAUACUGUUACUGAUAAAAAAUAGAGCACUAGUGCACAGACUUUUGACCCCCCCCCCCUCCUCGUAACCAUGAAGUGUAUUAUAAUUUGUCUGACAGUACUCGGACACAUUAUUGGGGACAGUCAACAUUGAAUGACCGAUUUUUGACACUGUCUGAAAAUACUGUUUGUUUUUUUCCAACCCAAAUAUGAUACAUAUAUGUGCCAAAACCGGGUUUUUUACAUUUUACAGGGAGGUAGGCUUUACUGUGUAAAAAGGUUUUAUUUUUGUAGAGAGAAGUUAAAUCCAUUUUAUAUAUGUUUUCAUUUUACCUGAAAUUCUACUGAUAUCCAUAUAUCAAUUUGUUUUUGUUGUUUAAUUGUCUAUCUAUUUAUUUACUUAAUUGUUUGCCUAAAUAUAACUGUAAUCUGUUUUAUGUAUUUAUUUUAUACAUUCAUUUUUAAUCCCCUUCUGCAUAGAGGGGAGGGGUCAAAUAUUCAUGUUUAUAACUUUUUGACAUGGAAGAUUUUAAAUAUUUUAGCAUAAAUAAUCACGACCAUGGCACAACAGCCAGGUUUUUCUCUAAAAGACAUGGUUUGUUAAAGAUCAAGAAGUACAGAUUCCUGUCCACUGCGAAGGGGAUAUAGUUGUCCUUCAGACUGCCUUGUUUUUAAUUGUCUGAAGUUUCAAUAUGAAAAUGCUCUUUUUAAUUUUGUGAUUUGUAACACCAGAAUUUCGGGUAUAUUGCAUUGGAUUGUAACAUGGCUGACAAGGUGACAGUAAAAUUGCCACCUGUAGGAAAUGCUACAUGAGUUGACAGUGUUUUUCCAAAAGUUGUCAACUUUACUGUCACUCUGUCAGGCAUGCAAUAUUAAUUUUAUUAUACCAAAAAUACUAUUAUGAUAAUGGUAGGGGGUCUUGAUCUAUUUAACAUUUAUGUGCAGUAAUGAAGAACAAUUAGUAUUUAACCUAAAUUUCAAAAUGUUAUUAAAAUGUGUAUAAUAUGUUUAUGUGUCAUUGUUCACAUUUUUUGGUUGAUCGUGUUUUGAAAUAAAACAUGGAAACUAUUAAAA